rnacentral:lncRNA from 12 species
CAGCUGGAUAUUAGGAAAAAAUUUCAUCACUGAAGGAAUGGCUAAGAAUUGGAACAGGCUGCCAAGGGCAGUGGUGGAGUCACCAUCAAUGGCAGUGCUCCAAAAACAAGCAGACAUUGCACUUUGGCAUUGAGGUAUUGUGUCAAAGGUUGGAUUUGAUGAUCUUGGAGGUCAUUUCCAACCAAAAUGAUCCUCUGGUUCCAUUAUAUGGUGGCACUGAGCUGUGGUGCUGCCACGUGGAAGAGCAGUGUGCACCCAGCUCCUCUGAGAGUGCUGUGCCUGUUCCCAGAGGCAGGGAUGGUUCUGUGCCCAGCAGGAUGGUUCUGUGCCCAGCAGGAUGGUUUUGUGCCCACCCAGGAUGGUUCUGUGCCCAGCAGGAUGGUUCUGUGCCCAGCAGGAUGGUUUUGUGCCCACCCAGGAUGGUUCUGUGCCCAGCAGGAUGGUUCUGUGCCCAGCAGGAUGGUUUUGUGCCCACCCAGGAUGGUUCUGUGCCCAGCAGGAUGGUUCUGUGCCCAGCAGGAUGGUUUUGUGCCCACCCAGGAUGGUUCUGUGCCCAGCAGGAUGGUUCUGUGCUGCAUUUCAUGCUGCCUGCACAGCCCCAGCCCUGGCUCUCUGUGCUGGCAGGGCUCAGCAGGAUGUGUGUGGGUGAGAUCCCACGCACAGCUCUGGGGACAGAGAUGUCUCUUAAGCCACAGCCCUCCUCCCUGCCGAGCCCUGUGGGGAGGGAGGGUGUUUGCACACCAGGCUUGGUGCCUGGCCUCCUGGCUGGAUGUUGUAACCACGAGAGAAGAGGAGCAGAAGCCCCAGCGUGGCUUGCAGCUGGGGCAGGGUAUGGCUGUUCCUUGCUGCAGGAAGGAUGGUGACAAUGGGAGACAGGGGAAGGCUGAUCCAUCAUUGGAAGGAAUCAAGGAAUAAAUUAGGGACCCUCAUGUGCCAGGACAUGGUGGCAGAAGUGACACUGUGAUGGACACUGCUGGCACCUACCUUUAUCUCUCUCUCCAUGGAUCCAGGGAUCAUGCUAUUAGCAGGGUGCACAGAAACACUUUCCAUUAAAAUUCAAGUUGUAAACAACAUGCCACGACAGAACAGGGCAUCCCUGACCCUUGGCUGGCAUCAUCAUUGUGCUCCCAGCAAAGAAGUUGCAGAUAUCAGGGAAUUGGAUAAUUUUCUCAGCAUCUUUUCAUUAAUGUUUCUAUUUUGUGCUUAUUUAUGCUCUGUGGAAAAAAAGUCUAUGAAAUGGAAAUCUAUUUUUAUCCAUCAGCUCUUAUGAAACCUGCUGCCAAAACCUCUCCCAGUUUUACUGUCUAAAACAUUCUAUUGAUGAUUAUAGACAUUACUAUAAUUUUUUCAUAAUUUCUACUGGUAAGAUGCCCAAACCUGUGUUUCAACAGGCCAGACAACAUCUUUGGCUGCUGCUGUCCUCUCUGUUUUCACUGCACACAGGUGAUGUGGAGUCUGAGCGGGUUUUGGUUCUGCUGGGUUUUUUGGUUUGUUUUUUUGUUUUUUUGGUUUAUUUUUUGUUUUUUUAAAUAUAAAGAAAAAGUGAAGACUGUGGGGAAUUCAAACAUUGAGCAAAUUCUUUGCUGUGCUUGCUGCCCAGCCCCAGCCCUGGCUGCUCAGCCCUAGCAGCUCAUCUCCUGUGCUGGCUGAGCUGGCAGAGCUGAACAAGGUGUGGGCCUUAAGGUCAGGACACCUCAAGUGUGACAAAGAGCUGGGAUUUCAAAAGCAGCUGCAGGAAGAGGGAAGAAUAAA